rnacentral:rRNA from 1 species
ACCCUUUGUGAACAUACCUACAACUGUUGCUUCGGCGGGUAGGGUCCCCGUGACCCUCCCGGCCUCCCGCCCCCCCGGGCGGGUCGGCGCCCGCCGGAGGAUAACCAAACUCUGAUUUAACGACGUUUCUUCUGAGUGGUACAAGCAAAUAAUCAAAACUUUUAACAACGGAUCUCUUGGUUCUGGCAUCGAUGAAGAACGCAGCGAAAUGCGAUAAGUAAUGUGAAUUGCAGAAUUCAGUGAAUCAUCGAAUCUUUGAACGCACAUUGCGCCCGCCAGCAUUCUGGCGGGCAUGCCUGUUCGAGCGUCAUUUCAACCCUCAAGCUCUGCUUGGUGUUGGGGCCCUACAGCUGAUGUAGGCCCUCAAAGGUAGUGGCGGACCCUCCCGGAGCCUCCUUUGCGUAGUAACUUUACGUCUCGCACUGGGAUCCGGAGGGACUCUUGCCGUAAAACCCCCCAAUUUUCCAAAGGUUGACCUCGGAUCAGGUAGGAAUACCCGCUGAACUUAAGCAUAUCAAAARGSSGGRAGGAAA